CCUACGGGUGGCAGCAGUGGGGAAUAUUGGACAAUGGGGGCAACCCUGAUCCAGCCAUGCCGCGUGUGUGAAGAAGGCCCUCGGGGUGGAAAGCACUUUUAGUGAGGGAGAACACGUGGUGGUUAAUACCCAUCAGGAAAGACAUCACGCACAGAAGAAGCACCGGCUAACUCCGGGCCAGCAGCCGCGGUAAUACGGAGGGUGCGAGCGUUAAUCGGAAUUACUGGGCGUAAAGCGCGCGUAGGUGGCUUGAUAAGCCGGUUGUGAAAGCCCCGGGCUCAACCUGGGAACGGCAUCCGGAACUGUCAAGCUAGAGUGCAGGUGAGGAAGGUAGAAUUCCCGGUGUAGCGGUGAAAUGCGUAGAGAUCGGGAGGAAUACCAGUGGCGAAGGCGGCCUUCUGGACUGACACUGACACUGAGGUGCGAAAGCGUGGGUAGCAAACAGGAUUAGAUACCCUGGUAGUC
rnacentral:rRNA from 1 species